rnacentral:rRNA from 1 species
UACGGAGGGUGCAAGCGUUAUCCGGAUUCACUGGGUUUAAAGGGUGCGUAGGUGGGUUUGUAAGUCAGUGGUGAAAUCUCCAAGCUUAACUUGGAACUGCCGUUGAUACUAUAAAUCUUGAAUGUUGUGGAGGUGAGCGGAAUAUGUCAUGUAGCGGUGAAAUGCUUAGAUAUGACAUAGAACACCAAUUGCGAAGGCAGCUCACUACACAAAGAUUGACACUGAGGCACGAAAGCGUGGGGAUCAA